GUAUAAGUUGUCUUUUUUGUAUGAUACCUUUCUUAAUUAGAAAGUUUUUAUCGUCUACAUCUUUUUGGUUAUUAGCAAUCCAAUUUGGGGUUUUGUUUUUUUAUGAGAAAAUAAUGUAAAAAGGAAGCAACUUGCAGAGCUUUUUGUCACUAAGUGGGCUUUGAGUUUCUUGCGCUCAUAGUUGCUAGCAGUUGUGUGAUAUCUUGGUGCAUUCUACUUAGGAAGCUUGAUGGGUUCCAGAUUCCCAUCUCAUCAACUCAGCAAUGGGCUUUAUGUGUCAGGCAGGAAAGAGCAGCCUAAAGAAAGGACUCCUACCAUGAGCUCAGUAGCAAUGCCCUAUACUGGUGGAGAUAUUAAAAAGUCGGGAGAACUGGGGAAAAUGUUCGAUAUCCCUGUGGAUGGUUCUAAGUCAAGGAAAUCUGGGCCUAUAAGCAGUGCUCCUUCAAGGACUGGGUCUUUUGGGGUUGCUGCUUCGCAUUCUGGACCGAUCAUGCCUAAUGCCGCACCUUGGGCAGGCUAUACAACAUCAGGUCCUGCUGCCACUGGAGUCAUGACUGGUUCCGCCUCAUUAAAGAAGUCAAGCUCUGGACCCCUGAAUAGACAUGGGGAUCCUGCUAAGAAAUCAUCUGGUCCACAGUCUGGAGGAGUAACAACAAGUGGACGCCAAAAUUCUGGUCCUAUUCCUCCUGUUCUCCCUGCAACUGGCCUUAUUACGUCCGGGCCCAUCUCUUCAGGCCCAUUGAAUUCCUCUGGGGCUCCUCGAAAUUGUCUGGUCCUUUGGACUCUAUGGGAUCAAUGAAAGUAAAAAGUUCUGUUGUUAAUAGUCAGGCUGUGAAUGUUCUUAGCCAAGAUGAUGACUUUUCUUUCAAGAGGAACUUCCCAAAGCUAAUAUUUUGGGCACUGAUAUUGCUUUUUGUAAUGGGAUUCAUUGCUGGUGGUUUUAUUCUUGGAGCAGUUCACAAUGCCAUUCUCCUUAUUGUCGUUGUUGUUCUUUUUGGUGCUGUUGCUGCAUUAUUUUCUUGGAACUCCUUUUGGGGGAGAACUGCUAUUAUGGGUUUCAUUGCUCGUUAUCCGGAUGCAGAGCUUAGAAAUGCAAAAAAUGGGCAAUUUGUGAAAAUUUCUGGGGUUGUAACAUGUGGGAAUGUACCUCUUGAGUCAUCCUACCAGAGAGUUCCACGAUGUGUUUACACGUCUACUAGUUUGUAUGAGUAUCGAGGAUGGGAUACCAAAGCUGCCAAUCCUAAGCAUCGUCGUUUUACUUGGGGACUUCGGUUGAUGGAAAGGCGUGCGGUGGACUUCUACAUCUCGGAUUUCCAGUCUGGGUUGAGAGCACUGGUAAAAACUGGCCCCGGAGCAAGGGUGACUCCUUAUGUGGAUGACUCAAUCGUUAUUGAUUUCAACCCAGCCAAAGAAGCGUUGUCUCCAGAAUUUGUCAGGUGGUUGAGAGAAAGGAACCUUUCAAGUGAUGACCGUGUGAUGCGAAUGAAAGAAGGGUAUAUCAAGGAAGGAAGCACGGUUAGUGUAAUGGGAGUUCUUCACAGAAAUGACAAUGUGCUUAUGAUUGUUGCUCCGCCUGAGCCAAUUACAACUGGAUGCCAGUGGGCCAAAUGUAUCUUACCAGCAAGUCUCGAGGGUAUUGUAUUGAGAUGUGAAGACACAUCGAAUACUGAUGCCAUAACUGUUUAGUAGUAUGUGCGUCGUAAGCUCUUUUCAGAAACACAAAUUUAUUCUAUUUUUUCCCCUUUCUAUUAAAUAUCUGGCGAUGAUGGUGGCUGUGGUAAGGUCGACUGAUGAGCAUGAGCCCCUCUGGUGUUUAUUAUCCUUUUUAACUGUGUAUAGCUUUUCCGAGGUUUUGUUGUCAACCUUUUAUCUUGUAGGUUUGAAGGGUGUUUUUGCUUUAGGGUCGGGUUCAUGCAGCUUACGUGUUUGCGAAGGAUUCGGGAUGAUGUUACUAAGAAUUAAAAACAAAACAAAAUAUGAACAUUACAAGGUGUUGAGUAUAUUUGUGUUUGCAUUACAGUUUUGGUUCGUUUAUGUUGCCAAUGGCAGGCUCUCCCUUGGAUUUUUGAUCGUUGGCUUAAGAGAGAUACCGGAAACAAACUGCAAUCUCAAUAGGUUGAAUUUUAUUUUUGUAAUAAGUGUAUAGCAUUAGUAUUUCUAGUGCACAUUUGUUUAUUUUCUUAAAUUUGAUCAAUUUGGGUUUCCAUCUUCCACUGUUUCCCUUCGGAGUUGCGUUCCAUAUUUUUCUUUUAAUACUUAUAUUUAAUAAAAUUUGAAAAGUUUAUAAUUUGUAUUA